rnacentral:rRNA from 1 species
AUUGAACGCUGGCGGCAGGCCUAACACAUGCAAGUCGAGCGGUUGAAGGGAGCUUGCUCCUGGAUUCAGCGGCGGACGGGUGAGUAAUGCCUAGGAAUCUGCCUGGUAGUGGGGGAUAACGUCCGGAAACGGGCGCUAAUACCGCAUACGUCCUGUGGGAGAAAGUGGGGGAUCUUCGGACCUCACGCUAUCAGAUGAGCCUAGGUCGGAUUAGCUAGUUGGUGGGGUAAAGGCCUACCAAGGCGACGAUCCGUAACUGGUCUGAGAGGAUGAUCAGUCACACUGGAACUGAAACACGGUCCAGACUCCUACGGGAGGCAGCAGUGGGGAAUAUUGGACAAUGGGCGAAAGCCUGAUCCAGCCAUGCCGCGUGUGUGAAGAAGGUCUUCGGAUUGUAAAGCACGUUAAGUUGGGAGGAAGGGCAGUAAGUUAAUACCUUGCUGUUUUGACGUUACCAACAGAAUAAGCACCGGCUAACUUCGUG